rnacentral:rRNA from 1 species
GACGAACGCUGGCGGCGUGCUUAACACAUGCAAGUCGAACGGAAAGGCCCUGCUUUUGUGGGGUGCUCGAGUGGCGAACGGGUGAGUAACACGUGAGUAACCUGCCCUUGACUUUGGGAUAACUUCAGGAAACUGGGGCUAAUACCGGAUAGGAGCUCCUGCUGCAUGGUGGGGGUUGGAAAGUUUCGGCGGUUGGGGAUGGACUCGCGGCUUAUCAGCUUGUUGGUGGGGUAGUGGCUUACCAAGGCUUUGCCGGGUAGCCGGCCUGAGAGGGGGACCGGCCACAUUGGGACUGAGAUACGGCCCAGACUCCUACGGGAGGCAGCAGUGGGGAAUAUUGCACAAUGGGCGGAAGCCUGAUGCAGCAACGCCGCGUGCGGGAUGACGUCCUUCGGGUUGUAAACCGCUUUCGCCUGUGACGAAGCGUGAGUGACGGUAAUGGGUAAAGAAGCACCGGCUAACUACGUG